GAUCGGCUAACUCCGUGCCAGCAGCCGCGGUAAUACGGAGGAUCCGAGCGUUAUCCGGAUUUAUUGGGUUUAAAGGGAGCGUAGGCGGACGCUUAAGUCAGUUGUGAAAGUUUGCGGCUCAACCGUAAAAUUGCAGUUGAUACUGGGUGUCUUGAGUACAGUAGAGGCAGGCGGAAUUCGUGGUGUAGCGGUGAAAUGCUUAGAUAUCACGAAGAACUCCGAUUGCGAAGGCAGCUUGCUGGACUGUAACUGACGCUGAUGCUCGAAAGUGUGGGUAUCAAACAGGAUUAGAUACCCUGGUAGUCCACACAGUAAACGAUGAAUACUCGCUGUUUGCGAUAUACAGUAAGCGGCCAAGCGAAAGCGUUAAGUAUUCCACCUGGGGAGUACGCCGGCAACGGUGAAACUCAAAGGAAUUGACGGGGGCCCGCACAAGCGGAGGAACAUGUGGUUUAAUUCGAUGAUACGCGAGGAACCUUACCCGGGCUUGAAUUGCAACCGAAUAUGGCGGAAACGCCAUAGCUAGCAAUAGCGGUUGUGAAGGUGCUGCAUGGUUGUCGUCAGCUCGUGCCGUGAGGUGUCGGCUUAAGUGCCAUAACGAGCGCAACCCUUGCCGAUAGUUACUAACAGGUUAUGCUGAGGACUCUGUCGGGACUGCCAUCGUAAGAUGUGAGGAAGGUGGGGAUGACGUCAAAUCAGCACGGCCCUUACGUCCGGGGCUACACACGUGUUACAAUGGGGGGUACAGAAGGCAGCUACACGGCGACGUGAUGCUAAUCCCUAAAGCCUCUCUCAGUUCGGAUUGGAGUCUGCAACCCGACUCCAUGAAGCUGGAUUCGCUAGUAAUCGCGCAUCAGCCACGGCGCGGUGAAUACGUUCCCGGGCCUUGUACACACCGCCCGUCAAGCCAUGAAAGCCGGGGGUACCUGAAGUGCGUAACCGCAAGGAGCGCCCUAGGGUAAAACUGGUGAUUGGGGCUAAGUCGUAACAAGGUAGCCGUACCGGAAGGUGCGGCUG
rnacentral:rRNA from 1 species